AUUGAACGCUGGCGGCAGGCCUAACACAUGCAAGUCGAGCGGAUGAAGGGAGCUUGCUCCUGGAUUCAGCGGCGGACGGGUGAGUAAUGCCUAGGAAUCUGCCUGGUAGUGGGGGAUAACGUCCGGAAACGGGCGCUAAUACCGCAUACGUCCUGAGGGAGAAAGUGGGGGAUCUUCGGACCUCACGCUAUCAGAUGAGCCUAGGUCGGAUUAGCUAGUUGGUGGGGUAAAGGCCUACCAAGGCGACGAUCCGUAACUGGUCUGAGAGGAUGAUCAGUCACACUGGAACUGAGACACGGUCCAGACUCCUACGGGAGGCAGCAGUGGGGAAUAUUGGACAAUGGGCGAAAGCCUGAUCCAGCCAUGCCGCGUGUGUGAAGAAGGUCUUCGGAUUGUAAAGCACUUUAAGUUGGGAGGAAGGGCAGUAAGUUACUACCUUGCUGUUUUGACGUUACCAACAGAAUAAGCACCGGCUAACUUCGUG
rnacentral:rRNA from 1 species